rnacentral:rRNA from 1 species
AACGAACGCUGGCGGCAGGCCUAACACAUGCAAGUCGAGCGAGGACUUCGGUUCUAGCGGCGGACGGGUGAGUAACGCGUGGGAAUGUGCCCUUCUCUACGGAAUAGCCCUGGGAAACUGGGAGUAAUACCGUAUACGCCCUAUUGGGGAAAGAUUUAUCGGAGAAGGAUCAGCCCGCGUUGGAUUAGGUAGUUGGUGGGGUAAUGGCCUACCAAGCCGACGAUCCAUAGCUGGUUUGAGAGGAUGAUCAGCCACACUGGGACUGAGACACGGCCCAGACUCCUACGGGAGGCAGCAGUGGGGAAUCUUAGACAAUGGGGGCAACCCUGAUCUAGCCAUGCCGCGUGAGUGAUGAAGGCCUUAGGGUUGUAAAGCUCUUUCAGCUGGGAAGAUAAUGACGGUACCAGCAGAAGAAGCCCCGGCUAACUACGUG